rnacentral:rRNA from 1 species
CCUACGGGAGGCAGCAGUGAGGAAUAUUGGUCAAUGGACGAAAGUCUGAACCAGCCAUGCCGCGUGCAGGAAGACGGCUCUAUGAGUUGUAAACUGCUUUUGUCCAGGGGUAAAACUGAAUACGUGUCUUCAGCUGAAAGUACUGUACGAAUAAGAAUCGGCUAACUCCGUGCCAGACGCCGCGGUAAUACGGAGGAUCCAAGCGUUAUCCGGAUUUAUUGGGUUUAAAGGGUGCGUAGGUGGAUUGAUAAGUUAGAGGUGAAAUGUCCGGGCUUAACUCGGGAACUGCCCCUAAUACUGUUGAUCUAGAGAGUAGAUGAGGUAGGCGGAAUGUAUGGUGUAGCGGUGAAAUGCUUAGAGAUCAGACAGAACACCGAUUGCGAAGGCAGCUUACCAAUCUAUAUCUGACGUUGAGGCACGAAAGCGUGGGGAGCAAACAGGAUUAGAUACCCCUGUAGUC